rnacentral:rRNA from 1 species
GAUUAAGUAGUAAAGGGCGCACGGAGGAUGCCUUGGCACUAGGAGCCGAAGAAGGACGUGACAAACGACGAAAUGCUACGGGGAGCUGUAAGUAAGCAAAGAGCCGUAGAUAUCCGAAUGGGGGAACCCACCGCUUUUAAAAGGGCGGUACGCGAAAGCGAGGUAACGCAGGGAACUGAAACAUCUAAGUACCUGUAGGAAGAGAAAGAAAAAUCGAUUUCCUUAGUAGCGGCGAGCGAAAAGGAAGGAGCCCAAACCAAUGUGCUUGCAUAUUGGGGUUGUAGGACUCUCAACAAAGUGUAUGACAAAGUAUAGUAGAACUAGCUGGAAAGUUAGACCGUAGAAGGUAAAAGUCCUGUAUACGAAAUGCUAAGUUGGCGCGAGAGAGCACCUGAGUACGGCGGAACACGAGGAAUUCCGUCGGAAUCUACCAGGACCAUCUGGUAAGGCUAAAUACUACCUAGUGACCGAUAGUGAACCAGUACCGUGAGGGAAAGGUGAAAAGAACCCCGGGAGGGGAGUGAAAGAGAACCUGAAACCGUGUGCUUACAAGUAGUCAGAGCCCUUUAGGGGGUGAUGGCGUGCCUUUUGUAGAAUGAACCGGCGAGUUACUUUAUCAUGCGAGGUUAAGUGGAAGACAUGGAGCCGCAGCGAAAGCGAGUCUUAAUAGGGCGAAAUAGUAUGAUGGAGUAGACCCGAAACCAAGUGAUCUACCCAUGGCCAGGUUGAAGUUUAGGUAACACUGAAUGGAGGACCGAACCAGGACACGUUGAAAAGUGUUUGGAUGAGCUGUGGGUAGCGGAGAAAUUCCAAUCGAACUUGGAAAUAGCUGGUUCUCUCCGAAAUAGCUUUAGGGCUAGCCUCGUUGUGAGUUUACUGGAGGUAGAGCACUGUUUGGACUAGGGGCCCAUCCCGGGUUACCGAAUUCAGACAAACUCCGAAUGCCAGAUAAAUAUCAACGGGAGUCAGGCUGCGGGUGAUA